rnacentral:rRNA from 1 species
GAUGAACGCUGGCGGCGUGCUUAACACAUGCAAGUCGAACGAUGAAGCCCAGCUUGCUGGGUGGAUUAGUGGCGAACGGGUGAGUAACACGUGAGUAACCUGCCCUUAACUCUGGGAUAAGCCUGGGAAACUGGGUCUAAUACCGGAUAGGAGCGUCCACCGCAUGGUGGGUGUUGGAAAGAUUUAUCGGUUUUGGAUGGACUCGCGGCCUAUCAGCUUGUUGGUGAGGUAAUGGCUCACCAAGGCGACGACGGGUAGCCGGCCUGAGAGGGUGACCGGCCACACUGGGACUGAGACACGGCCCAGACUCCUACGGGAGGCAGCAGUGGGGAAUAUUGCACAAUGGGCGCAAGCCUGAUGCAGCGACGCCGCGUGAGGCAUGACGGCCUUCGGGUUGUAAACCUCUUUCAGUAGGGAAGAAGCGAAAGUGACGGUACCUGCAGAAGAAGCACCGGCUAACUACGUG